AGAGUUUGAUCAUGGCUCAGAUUGAACGCUGGCGGCAGGCCUAACACAUGCAAGUCGAGCGGUAGCACAGAGAGCUUGCUCUCGGGUGACGAGCGGCGGACGGGUGAGUAAUGUCUGGGAAGCUGCCUGAUGGAGGGGGAUAACUACUGGAAACGGUAGCUAAUACCGCAUAACGUCGCAAGACCAAAGUGGGGGACCUUCGGGCCUCAUGCCAUCAGAUGUGCCCAGAUGGGAUUAGCUAGUAGGUGGGGUAACGGCUCACCUAGGCGACGAUCCCUAGCUGGUCUGAGAGGAUGACCAGCCACACUGGAACUGAGACACGGUCCAGACUCCUACGGGAGGCAGCAGUGGGGAAUAUUGCACAAUGGGCGCAAGCCUGAUGCAGCCAUGCCGCGUGUGUGAAGAAGGCCUUCGGGUUGUAAAGCACUUUCAGCGGGGAGGAAGGCGUUAAGGUUAAUAACCUUGGCGAUUGACGUUACCCGCAGAAGAAGCACCGGCUAACUCCGUGCCAGCAGCCGCGGUAAUACGGAGGGUGCAAGCGUUAAUCGGAAUUACUGGGCGUAAAGCGCACGCAGGCGGUCUGUCAAGUCGGAUGUGAAAUCCCCGGGCUCAACCUGGGAACUGCAUUCGAAACUGGCAGGCUAGAGUCUUGUAGAGGGGGGUAGAAUUCCAGGUGUAGCGGUGAAAUGCGUAGAGAUCUGGAGGAAUACCGGUGGCGAAGGCGGCCCCCUGGACAAAGACUGACGCUCAGGUGCGAAAGCGUGGGGAGCAAACAGGAUUAGAUACCCUGGUAGUCCACGCCGUAAACGAUGUCGAUUUGGAGGUUGUGCCCUUGAGGCGUGGCUUCCGGAGCUAACGCGUUAAAUCGACCGCCUGGGGAGUACGGCCGCAAGGUUAAAACUCAAAUGAAUUGACGGGGGCCCGCACAAGCGGUGGAGCAUGUGGUUUAAUUCGAUGCAACGCGAAGAACCUUACCUGGUCUUGACAUCCACAGAACUUUCCAGAGAUGGAUUGGUGCCUUCGGGAACUGUGAGACAGGUGCUGCAUGGCUGUCGUCAGCUCGUGUUGUGAAAUGUUGGGUUAAGUCCCGCAACGAGCGCAACCCUUAUCCUUUGUUGCCAGCGGUUCGGCCGGGAACUCAAAGGAGACUGCCAGUGAUAAACUGGAGGAAGGUGGGGAUGACGUCAAGUCAUCAUGGCCCUUACGACCAGGGCUACACACGUGCUACAAUGGCAUAUACAAAGAGAAGCGACCUCGCGAGAGCAAGCGGACCUCAUAAAGUAUGUCGUAGUCCGGAUUGGAGUCUGCAACUCGACUCCAUGAAGUCGGAAUCGCUAGUAAUCGUAGAUCAGAAUGCUACGGUGAAUACGUUCCCGGGCCUUGUACACACCGCCCGUCACACCAUGGGAGUGGGUUGCAAAAGAAGUAGGUAGCUUAACCUUCGGGAGGGCGCUUACCACUUUGUGAUUCAUGACUGGGGUGAAGUCGUAACAAGGUAACCGUAGGGGAACCUGCGGUUGGAUCACCU
rnacentral:rRNA from 1 species